GGCAGCUAUAAUGCAAGUCGAGCGAACAGAUAAGGAGCUUGCUCCUUUGACGUUAGCGGCGGACGGGUGAGUAACACGUGGGUAACCUACCUAUAAGACUGGGAUAACUUCGGGAAACCGGAGCUAAUACCGGAUAACAUUUGGAACCGCAUGGUUCUAAAGUGAAAGAUGGUUUUGCUAUCACUUAUAGAUGGACCCGCGCCGUAUUAGCUAGUUGGUAAGGUAACGGCUUACCAAGGCRACGAUACGUAGCCGACCUGAGAGGGUGAUCGGCCACACUGGAACUGAGACACGGUCCAGACUCCUACGGGAGGCAGCAGUAGGGAAUCUUCCGCAAUGGGCGAAAGCCUGACGGAGCAACGCCGCGUGAGUGAUGAAGGGUUUCGGCUCGUAAAACUCUGUUAUUAGGGAAGAACAAACGUGUAAGUAACUGUGCACGUCUUGACGGUACCUAAUCAGAAAGCCACGGCUAACUACGUGCCAGCAGCCGCGGUAAUACGUAGGUGGCAAGCGUUAUCCGGAAUUAUUGGGCGUAAAGCGCGCGUAGGCGGUUUCUUAAGUCUGAUGUGAAAGCCCACGGCUCAACCGUGGAGGGUCAUUGGAAACUGGGAAACUUGAGUGCAGAAGAGGAAAGUGGAAUUCCAUGUGUAGCGGUGAAAUGCGCAGAGAUAUGGAGGAACACCAGUGGCGAAGGCGACUUUCUGGUCUGUAACUGACGCUGAUGUGCGAAAGCGUGGGGAUCAAACAGGAUUAGAUACCCUGGUAGUCCACGCCGUAAACGAUGAGUGCUAAGUGUUAGGGGGUUUCCGCCCCUUAGUGCUGCAGCUAACGCAUUAAGCACUCCGCCUGGGGAGUACGACCGCAAGGUUGAAACUCAAAGGAAUUGACGGGGACCCGCACAAGCGGUGGAGCAUGUGGUUUAAUUCGAAGCAACGCGAAGAACCUUACCAAAUCUUGACAUCCUUUGAAAACUCUAGAGAUAGAGCCUUCCCCUUCGGGGGACAAAGUGACAGGUGGUGCAUGGUUGUCGUCAGCUCGUGUCGUGAGAUGUUGGGUUAAGUCCCGCAACGAGCGCAACCCUUAAGCUUAGUUGCCAUCAUUAAGUUGGGCACUCUAGGUUGACUGCCGGUGACAAACCGGAGGAAGGUGGGGAUGACGUCAAAUCAUCAUGCCCCUUAUGAUUUGGGCUACACACGUGCUACAAUGGACAAUACAAAGGGCAGCUAAACCGCGAGGUCAUGCAAAUCCCAUAAAGUUGUUCUCAGUUCGGAUUGUAGUCUGCAACUCGACUACAUGAAGCUGGAAUCGCUAGUAAUCGUAGAUCAGCAUGCUACGGUGAAUACGUUCCCGGGUCUUGUACACACCGCCCGUCACACCACGAGAGUUUGUAACACCCGAAGCCGGUGGAGUAACCAUUUAUGGAGCUAGCCGUCGAA
rnacentral:rRNA from 1 species